UGUGUAUCAGUACAUGGCAUAUCAAUAAGCGGAGGAAAAGAAACUAACUAGGAUUCCCUCAGUAACGGCGAGUGAAGCGGGAAGAGCUCAAAUUUGAAAUCUUCAAGGUUCUACCUUGACGAAUUGUAGUUUAAAGAAGUGUUUUCUGUUGGAGUUUUGGUAAAAGUUCUUUGGAAUAGGACAUCAUAGAGGGUGAGAAUCCCGUAUUUGACCAUUAUUUCCAGCUGUGUGAUACACUUUCAAAGAGUCGGAUUGUUUGGGAAUGCAGUCCAAAAUGGGUGGUAAAUUUCAUCUAAAGCUAAAUAUUGGCGAGAGACCGAUAGCGAACAAGUACCGUGAGGGAAAGAUGAAAAGAACUUUGAAAAGAGAGUUAAACAGUACGUGAAAUUGUCAAAAGGGAAGCGUUUGACACCAGUGUUGUUUUCUCGAAAAUCAAUUAAAAAUGAUGGGAUUUUGUGUUGUAUUGACUUUAUCAGCUUUCUGCACUUUUUUCUUAUCUUUUUUAAUGCACUUUUCGUUUAACAAGUCAACAUCAAUUUCUUUUGUUGUAAAAGAGUCAUUGGAAGGUGGCUUUUUCUUCGGAAAAAGUGUUUAUAGCCUUUGGCUUCUGCAAUCGGAGAGAUUGAGGUCUGCAGCGUAGAUCCUUCGGGGUUAGAUACAUUUGUGCUAAGCUAUAGUUCUUUAUAGACAACUUGUUGACUAUAAUCAAUCCUGUAACUUACUCGCUUAUGCUAUUUUACCUACGCUUAGGAUGUUGACAGCAGUAUAGACUG
rnacentral:rRNA from 1 species